rnacentral:rRNA from 1 species
UACGUAGGGUGCGAGCGUUGUCCGGAAUUAUUGGGCGUAAAGAGCUCGUAGGCGGUGUGUCGCGUCGGCCGUGAAAACCUGGGGCUCAACUCUGGGCGUGCGGUCGAUACGGGCAUCACUUGAGUUCGGCAGGGGAGACUGGAAUUCCUGGUGUAGCGGUGAAAUGCGCAGAUAUCAGGAGGAACACCGGUGGCGAAGGCGGGUCUCUGGGCAGAUACUGACGCUGAGGAGCGAAAGCAUGGGUAGCGAACAGG